UGAAAUGUCAAAACACCUAGUAUCGAAUAGGUCAAAUUAAUGGAAAAAUUCGUGUGUCUCUCUCUCUUGUAUAGUACUCUAUUGGUUUGUGUCGAUGAACAAUUGCUGAGUUGGAGAGAUCUGUCCAUAUGUUUAAAGGUUGAGUUGGCAACCCGGACCAGCUAAGAGAUGUGAUUGAAGUGAAUCGAAUUGACAAUGGUAUUUUUUUGCUUGGACAAUGAGAAUCGGGUUGAGGGUGAGAUGAGGAGGAGGACUCUUUCCUGGUUUUAAAUUGCUCAACAACACUGUUCUAGCUCUUCUUUCCAUCCAGCUCAGAACUGGGAUUAGAAGCUCCAUUUUGUUUCAACGCUGAUUGCAAGCUUUAUAAACUACAGUUAUGCAUCGCUGAUCUGUAGAUUUGUCCAAAUGGAGAGAAUAAGUGGCCCAAGCAAAAUCAUUGUUGGCGACGGGUAACUCGUCUCCGCGGAGAUCGAGAAAAACAGUUGAGAAUUGAACACCUGUGGUUCUUCGUAGGUAGCGCCAAAAUGGAUGAUGAUGACCUGGACUGACAGGGGGACGAGAAAAACACAUUCGACUUGGAGAUCUCCGAUCAAUAAAGGAAUAAACCGUAAAAUCCCUCUCAUUCUCUCACACAACACAAGAGAGGACUUGACAAAUAAGAUUCAUAGGGACGGAGGAUGGCUCGGCAGCUUUUGGAGGAAAGGGGAGUGAUAUAAUUGCGGGUCCUGGUCUGAACAUCGCACUUUUUUACCUCAGGAAAUACCAAUCUGAUGUCACCUUAAACGGCUACGAAUUUGCAUUUCAAAAUGUGUGUCGAAUCUCUCCUGGCGAUAAUUAAUCAAAAUGUAAACCCUGACGUAUUGAUCGCCAUCUCGUAAGACAUGUCAAUACCAUCUGAAUAUAUACGAAGGAUGGAUCUUGAAUCCUGAUGAUGUUUAUGAGGGUGGGCACUGGCCAGUGGGUGGUGAUCAUCUUCCCCCAACAGCCAUUAUGGUCCUGGGGAUUCAAAGAGAUAAUUACAGUCAUCAAAAGGCAUCUCGAGAACCUCAACCCAUUAUAAAUAUAUGUUUAUCUAAUCACGAACAAUGCUCAGUGAGCAAAACUCCAACCAACCUCCCAAUCACCACCUAUUGACCAAUGGCACCAACCGACCUAUUACUCGGCCAAAGUGAAGGAGUCCAUGAGGGAGGAAUAACAGAAUAUGUGAGAUAUUGUUUAGUGGCCGCCAGAGAGAUAAUGAAUUCUGGGCUUAUCAAGUCCUCCAAUCUUUCACAGUCCAUACCACCCGUUGUCCCAUGGUUCUCCUGGGACGAAGAAGACCUUGAGCAGAGCAGCAUUGCCAAUAUUUAGUUGUGUUUUCGCCUCGCACCUCGCUUACUCUCUUACGCUCCAAGGGGAGGCUCAUCUGCCAUUUGCGAGACCUUCAGGUACCUGAGGUACCCCUCCAAAGCUUCAGGGUGGACUAAGAGCAAUGGAUGAAUUCAAUCCGACCGCCAUAAAGUCACAAAUAUUUGUUAAAAGCUCUUGGCACCACAAGAUAUUUGUCCGGGUCAUUAUGGCUGCCAAGGAGGCCAAGGAGGCUGGCCAAGGCGGAGGAACACUACUUGAAAGCCUGGAUCGGUAUCUUGAUCUUGAUUAAGGAAUAAUCAUAGCGAGCGGCAUGAACUCAAUUACCAUAAAUGACGAAAAACAAGUCUUGAAUAUUCCAGUCUCUUCCCUGAAACAGGAGAUCUUCUUUGGGUGGAAAGCUCGAGUGAUACUCAUCAGGGUCAGAUUUGUUUCUCCUUGGUCGUAACAGACCAAAUAGUUGAGAUCAACCAUCAGUGUCAAAAUUGUCAACACGUUCGUGGUAUCGAAUCGGGAAAUCAUGAAUGGUGGUGCUAUUCUUGUUGGGAUGAUUCGGAUCAUCCGGCGGUGCAUCUCGAGAUCCUCGGAUUCCUUGGCCCGCCUAUCUGGGUAUUGUCAUCAAACAAAUAGGCUUAAACCAUUCAGUGAAGCUUUUCACUUUACUUCAAUCCGGGAGAAUCACCGCAGUCUGGGCGAGAGAUGAAGAAUGGCAAAUACUUAAUCCGGGAAUUGGUCAAUUAUGAGGAGAGCGAAACGCUCCAAGGAUUUAAAUGAGCCGGGGACAAACUUGUUAUUG